GACGAACCGAGCAAACGUUAUUCGGAAUCACUGGGCUUAAAGGGCGCGUAGGCGGGCAUCAAAGUCUGUGGUGAAAUCCUCCAGCUUAACUGGAGAACUGCCGUGGAUACUGGGUGUCUCGGAGGGAGGUAGGGGCGUGGCGGAACGGAUCGGUGGAGCGGUGAAAUGCGUUGAUAUCGAUCGGAACUCCGGUGGCGAAGGCGGCACGCUGGACCUCUUCUGACGCUGAGGCGCGAAAGCCAGGGGAGCAAACGGG
rnacentral:rRNA from 1 species